ensembl:lncRNA
AUGCAAAUAUUUAUAACAAACUCCACUCAGCAUAGAGUAAACCUCAGAAUUCAAAUGACAGUCACUGACACCAGCUGGUCCUUUAUAGAAACUGACCCACCCACUGAGACACAGAACAUCAAUCCUAAACAUCGCCACUCUCCUCCCACAGGUUGGUCCCUAUCUACAUUCAUCAUCAGGCAGAACCUGCCAGUUAAUCACGAGACCCGGAUGAGAGACUGGGCCUGCGCCAAAGAAUUUAGAGAAGAACCAUUUGAGGGUUUAAUACUGAUUUACUUCAUUCUAUUGUUUUAUGGAACAAACUUAAUUCAAAUGAGUAUCCGCCUACUGAGUAUUUUUGGUAGAACUGUUUGGACUAUGAUUCAUCAGUUUGCUUUGAAUCUUCAUUGUUGUUUCUUGACAGCACUGUUACCUAAAUAAACUGUGAUUAACCUGUUGAUUUAUCGUCGCACUGUAAGGACAGCUGUGAAAACGCUAUGGACUUAACCUUACCACCUGUCAGCAAAGCCACGCAGUCACUGCCUUCACUGCCACCAUAAUCAUCAGCCACCACUCACACCAGAUCACACUCACCUGAAUUCUGAUCACCUGCACCUGCCGUUUCCAAUCAAGCCACCUUUAAGAACACGCUCCUCUCAGUCACUCAUUGUCCGGCCUACCGUUCAUAUUCCUGAACUGUUCCCAGACUCUAUGUGCACUACUUACCUGGGGGUACUUACCUCUAGAUCUCCUUAUGAUUCUCAGACGAUUCUCCAGUGUUGUUCCCCUCGGUUCCUUGUCUCCGAUCUCCUAUGAACCUGCAAAGAAACCACACAUCAGCAUACAGCUAAGAACCAUUGAACUGGUCAUAGUUUUUGAUACUCACUUGCUAUUUGAUCAUCACGAUCUGCUUUCACAAGCCUGUCAAUAAACCUGCCUGUUCAUUCACUUACCUGUUGUCUCUGACUCUAUCUGUGACACUUUACUUCUGUCAAGUUUCCCUUCGUCAAUAUUACCACACAGUUCACCCAGUCCUCCAGCCCAGCCACUGCCUGAUGUUUAAAGCCCUGCUGUGACGUCGA